UGCAUAUCAAUAAGCGGAGGAAAAGAAACUAACAAGGAUUCCCCUAGUAACGGCGAGUGAAGCGGGAAAAGCUCAAAUUUGUAAUCUGGCGCCUUGGGCGUCCGAGUUGUAAUCUCGAGAAGUAUUUUCCGCGCUGGACCGCACAUAAGUCUGUUGGAAUACAGCGUCAUAGUGGUGAGAACCCCGUAUAGGGUGCGGAUGCCCAGUGCUUUGUGAUAUACUUUCGAAGAGUCGAGUUGUUUGGGAAUGCAGCUCAAAUGGGGUGGUAAAUUCCAUCUAAAGCUAAAUAUUGGCGAGAGACCGAUAGCGAACAAGUACCGUGAGGGAAAGAUGAAAAGCACUUUGGAAAGAGAGUUAACAGUACGUGAAAUUGUUGGAAGGGAAACGCUUGAAGUCAGACUUGCAUUUUGGAGUUCAGCCGCAAGGUGUAUUCUUCAAUUCGCAGGCCAGCAUCAGUUUUUGGGGGUGGAAAAGCGCGGUUUGAAGGUAGCAGUUUCGGCUGUGUUAUAGCUUUCCGCUGGAUUCACUUUUGGGGACUGAGGAACGCAGUACGCUUUUUGCAAGAUUCUAGGGUCUUUCGUACUUAGGAUGCUGGUGGAAUGGCUUUAAACGACCCGUCUUGAAACACGGACCA
rnacentral:rRNA from 1 species